GGUACCUCCAAGCGCGUGCAUGGACACAUGUUGCCGAUGUGUGACUCGUGGUGACUGCGGUACUGCUUUCUCAAGAGUCUUGUGGAAAAAUUGUCUGUGUCUACUGCCGCAAAUGGAGUUGCUUUAAUGUGCAGGGAGGACGAAGCAGGAGUGAUCCUGGUUUCACAAUAAUGGAACACAGCAUAUAGUUGAAGUGAAGAAGCAUUUUUCAUUUUGCCUUUGCUUAGGUUCGGGCAAAAUUGUUUCAUUUGUCGGACAAUGCUCUUCUCAUACAGAUACAUGGAAAGACGCUACAGUGAAAAAGAUUGGAAGCAUUUUGUAACUGAAACUGAAAUGGAUGGCUAGUUCAUGAGUGAUAUGUCAUUGUAAAAAACAAGCAUCAUAGCUGACAUAUAUCGUUAAAAUAAGAAAACAAUGAGCGGAUACUAUGGUCAACUGAUGUAGCUCUAAACGAAAGUGAACAAAUUUGUUCUUUCUUUGGUCCGAUGAACAGAUAAAGGCUAAUAAAGCUGGUAGCGUUGAAUCAUUGAAAAGCUUGCUGAAACAAAGGUGCGGCUCACAACCAAACAACAUCAUGGUCAACCACGAAUCGUGCUCAAAGCCUUGUACUGAAAACUUUAGAUAUGUGAUCUCGGAUCGUUAAGGCCCUUAUAGCUUCAGGCGUAUUGUGGUUGUCUUUGCUUCAGACUGUUAAGGCAAGGAUGAGGACUUCGAAAGUAAAAGGGUAUUCAAUUUACAUGUUUCAUUUUGAUUCAUUUACAAAAACCUAAGAUUAGGUGAUCUCUCGUAGGACUUGUUCAUGGAUCACGUCUUUCUUACAUUAUUAGGUAUUUUUUAAAUUAAACUUAGACGAGUAAAUCA